GACGAACGCUGGCGGCGUGCUUAACACAUGCAAGUCGAACGGAAAGGCCCUGCUUUUGUGGGGUGCUCGAGUGGCGAACGGGUGAGUAACACGUGAGUAACCUGCCCUUGACUUUGGGAUAACUUCAGGAAACUGGGGCUAAUACCGGAUAGGAGCUCCUGCUGCAUGGUGGGGGUUGGAAAGUUUCGGCGGUUGGGGAUGGACUCGCGGCUUAUCAGCUUGUUGGUGGGGUAGUGGCUUACCAAGGCUUUGACGGGUAGCCGGCCUGAGAGGGUGACCGGCCACAUUGGGACUGAGAUACGGACCAGACUCCUACGGGAGGCAGCAGUGGGGAAUAUGGCACAAUGGGCGGAAGCCUGAGGCAGCAACGCCGCGUGCGGGAUGACGGCCUUCGGGUUGUAAACCGCUUUCGCCUGUGACGAAGCGUGAGUGACGGUAAUGGGUAAAGAAGCACCGGCUAACUACGUG
rnacentral:rRNA from 1 species